AACAAACAGAGCAAGAAAUGAACAAAUAACUACAUAAUGACUGAUAAUGAUAAGUGAUAAUAAUAACUUUAAUGAUAUGAAGGCUGAUGAAGGUAAUUAUAAACAUUAUUUUGAGUUUGUUUAAUAAAAUAUAGGAUACAAUAUAACUAAGCAAAAUCAAACAGUUUUAGACAACCAAUACAAGAUUUUAGAACUUGACAUCGUGAUAAACAAAUUGUACAUUCAGGAACUCGUUUAAAUAUUAUAGGUUGAUUGACGAAUACUCUACAGUUGAUUAGAGCCCAUGAUGAU